UUUUAUGAGAGUUUGAUCCUGGCUCAGGACGAACGCUGGCGGCGUGCCUAAUACAUGCAAGUCGAACGCUUUUUCUUUCACCGGAGCUUGCUCCACCGAAAGAAAAGGAGUGGCGAACGGGUGAGUAACACGUGGGUAACCUGCCCAUCAGAAGGGGAUAACACUUGGAAACAGGUGCUAAUACCGUAUAAUAAGUAAAACCGCAUGGUUUUACUUUGAAAGGCGCUUUUGCGUCACUGAUGGAUGGACCCGCGGUGCAUUAGCUAGUUGGUGAGGUAACGGCUCACCAAGGCAACGAUGCAUAGCCGACCUGAGAGGGUGAUCGGCCACAUUGGGACUGAGACACGGCCCAAACUCCUACGGGAGGCAGCAGUAGGGAAUCUUCGGCAAUGGACGAAAGUCUGACCGAGCAACGCCGCGUGAGUGAAGAAGGUUUUCGGAUCGUAAAACUCUGUUGUUAGAGAAGAACAAGGAUGAGA
rnacentral:rRNA from 1 species